UACAGAGGUCUCAAGCGUUGUUCGGAUUCAUUGGGCGUGAAAGGGUGCGUAGGCGGCGCGGUAAGUCGGGUGUGAAAUCUCGGAGCUUAACUCCGAAACUGCAUUCGAUACUGCCGUGCUUGAGGACUGGAGAGGAGACUGGAAUUUACGGUGUAGCAGUGAAAUGCGUAGAGAUCGUAAGGAAGACCAGUGGCGAAGGCGGGUCUCUGGACAGUUCCUGACACUGAGGCACGGAAGGCCAGGGGAGCAAACGGG
rnacentral:rRNA from 1 species